rnacentral:rRNA from 1 species
AAGGAAUAUUGGUCAAUGGACGCAAGUCUGAACCAGCCAUGCCGCGUGGAGGAUGAAGGUCCUCUGGAUUGUAAACUUCUUUUAUUUGGGACGAAACACUCCUAUUCUUAGGGGCCUGACGGUACCAGAUGAAUAAGCACCGGCUAACUCCGUGCCAGCAGCCGCAGUAAUACGGAGGGUGCAAGCGUUAUCCGGAUUCACUGGGUUUAAAGGGUGCGUAGGUGGGUAUGUAAGUCAGUGGUGAAAUCCCCGAGCUUAACUUGGGAACUGCCGUUGAUACUAUAUAUCUUGAAUGUCGUAGAGGUUAGCGGAAUAUGUCAUGUAGCGGUGAAAUGCUUAGAGAUGACAUAGAACACCAAUUGCGAAGGCAGCUUGCUAUGCGAUUAUUGACACUGAGGCACGAAAGCGUGGGUAGCAAACA